AAGGUGAUCUGAUGGAGAAUAAUGGCUAGGUAACUCAGUGAUUACCUUCGUUAUACAUAUAUCUUUCCAUUAAUUCAUUUCUGGAAAUCCAUGGUAUGGACAUAUCCAUCAGUUCUCCUGGAAAAUGUUGUGACAUGGUGUCCUAACCUGGCACUUCUCAGUGUGACAGUUUGUCUAGCUUUUGAGGGUAUAUUCAUGUUCCCAAAUUCACAGACACAGACCUGUCACUGGAGAUGGGCACUGUAAAAUAGCAGCAAGCAAGACAAAGAGGUGUGUUCUGUUUUAAUCAUUGCACAGAAUCCAUUCUAAACCCACUGAGAUGACUGGUCACCAUUCAUUUUCUGCUUGUGUCACGGACAUCAAGCAAUAAAAAGAGGUGGGCAGCAGAAUAGAACAGAAUGCAAUGCAAUACUAUGAAAUAUCUCAGUUGGAAGAAACAUUCAAAGAUCGUCUAAUCCAACUGCAAGGACAGGACUACAGUUGGUGUUCUACUACUACUGCUGCUGUUCUAUGACACUGAACAUGUUACUUUGCAUAUUCUGAGGCAGAGUGCAAGGUGACUCUGCUGAGGUUCCUCUGGAAGCUGCAGUUUCUUGUGGACUCUACACCCUCUCCAGACCUGCAGGCGGUGUUACCUCCUCCAUCUGCAGAACUGUUGCCUGUUCACCGACUGCACUAGUAUCUGAAGCACCAGGAUCUGCUACUUUGCAGAAAACCACCUUGUGGCCUGUAAGUCUGAGUAGCUUAGGUUAGGUGUCACUGCACAUCAAGAACAUGAAAGCUGAAAAAGCCCAACUUCAGUCUUUGCCUGGGGCCUCCAUGGGCCUUGUGCUUCCUCUCUCAGUUGUACUGUACAUUUACGUUGCUCUGAAGAGGGUAUGAAAUUAUCUGCUUCUGUUCACUGCAUUGUGAGAUCUAAAGUCUCUUUACUUGCAAGCUUUUCCAUUCUACACUGCUAUUCUAUGCUCGGCAA